rnacentral:rRNA from 1 species
GACGAACGCUGGCGGCGUGCCUAAUACAUGCAAGUUGAGCGCUGAAGGUUGGUACUUGUACCAACUGGAUGAGCAGCGAACGGGUGAGUAGCGCGUGGGGAAUCUGCCUUUGAGCGGGGGACAACAUUUGGAAACGAAUGCUAAUACCGCAUAAAAACUUUAAACACAAGUUUUAAGUUUGAAAGAUGCAAUUGCAUCACUCAAAGAUGAUCCCGCGUUGUAUUAGCUAGUUGGUGAGGUAAAGGCUCACCAAGGCGAUGAUACAUAGCCGACCUGAGAGGGUGAUCGGCCACAUUGGGACUGAGACACGGCCCAAACUCCUACGGGAGGCAGCAGUAGGGAAUCUUCGGCAAUGGACGAAAGGCUGACCGAGCAACGCCGCGUGAGUGAAGAAGGUUUUCGGAUCGUAAAACUCUGUUGGUAGAGAAGAACGUUGGUGAGAGUGGAAAGCUCAUCAAGUGACGGUAACUACCCAGAAAGGGACGGCUAACUACGUG